rnacentral:rRNA from 1 species
UACGUAGGCAGCGAGCGUUGUUCGGAAUUACUGGGCGUAAAGGGCGCGCAGGCGGCCGUGUAAGUCCGCUGUGAAAGACCGGGGCUCAACCCCGGGGUGUCAGCGGGGACUGCUCGGCUGGAGUCUCGGAGAGGGAUGCGGAAUACCUGGUGUAGCGGUGGAAUGCGUAGAGAUCAGGUGGAACACCGAUGGCGAAGGCAGCAUCCUGGACGGGUACUGACGCUGAGGCGCGAAAGCGUGGGGAGCGAACGGG